GACGAACGCUGGCGGCGUGCCUAAUACAUGCAAGUCGAGCGCAGGAAAUCAACGGAACCCUUCGGGGGGAAGUCGACGGAAUGAGCGGCGGACGGGUGAGUAACACGUAAAGAACCUGCCCUCAGGUCUGGGAUAACCACGAGAAAUCGGGGCUAAUACCGGAUGGGUCAUCGGACCGCAUGGUCCGAGGAUGAAAGGCGCUUCGGCGUCGCCUGGGGAUGGCUUUGCGGUGCAUUAGCUAGUUGGUGGGGUAAUGGCCCACCAAGGCGACGAUGCAUAGCCGACCUGCGAGGGUGAUCGGCCACACUGGGACUGAGACACGGCCCAGACUCCUACGGGAGGCAGCAGUAGGGAAUCUUCCACAAUGGACGAAAGUCUGAUGGAGCAACGCCGCGUGAACGAUGAAGGCCUUCGGGUCGUAGAGUUCUGUUGCAAGGGAAGAACAAGUGCCGCAGGCAAUGGCGGCACCUUGACGGUACCUUGCGAGAAAGCCACGGCUAACUACGUGCCAGCCGCCGCGGUAACAC
rnacentral:rRNA from 1 species